rnacentral:lncRNA from 1 species
CUGCUGCUCUAUAUACACAGACUAGAAAUCACUGGCCACUUUAAUAAAUGGAUCACUAGUCACUUUAUAUAAUGUUUCCUACCCUACAUUACUCAUCUCAUAUGUAUAUACUGUAUUCUAUACUAUACUACUGUAUCUUGCCUAUGCCGUCCAGCCAUCGCUCAUCCAUAUAUUUGUAUGUAUAUAUUCUUGUUCCAUUCCUAAACUUAGAUUUGUGUGCAUUAGGUAGUUGUUGUGGAAUUGUUAGAUUACUUGUUAGAUAUUACUGCACUGUCGGAACUAGAAGCACAAGCAUUUCACUACACUCACAUUAACAUCUGCUACCCAUGUGUAUGUGACCAAUAAAACUUGAUUUGAGAGAAACCCUCCUGUAGGUUUUAACUCCAACCCUGUUCCUGGAGAGAUAACCUCCUGUAGGUUUUAACUCCAACCCUGUUCCUGGAGAGAUAUCCUCCUGUAGGUUUUAACUCCAACCCUGUUCCUGGAGAGAUAACCUCCUGUAGGUUUUAACUCCAACUCUAAUCUAGCCAACCUGAUUCUAAUAAUCAGUUGGUUGAUAAACUGAAUCAUGUUAGUUACAACUGGGGUUGGGACGAAAACCUACAGGAGGAUGUCUCUCCAGGAAGUGAAGCUCAGCCGGAUCAUUUACAUUACAUUUAAGUCAUUUAGCAGACGCUCUUAUCCAGAGCGACUUACAAAUUGGUGCAUUCACCUUAUAAUAUCCAGUGGAACAACCACUUACAAUAGUGCAUCUAAAUCUUUUAAGGGGGGGGGGGGUUAGAAGGAUUACUUUAUCCUAUCCCAGGUAUUCCUUGAAGAGGUGGGGUUUCAGGUGUCUCCGGAAGGUGGUGAUUGACUCCGCUGUCCUGGCGUCGUGAGGGAGCUUGUUCCACCAUUGGGGUGCCAGAGCAGCGAACAGUUUUGACUGGGCUGAGCGGGAACUGUGCUUCCUCAGAGGUAGGGGGGCCAGCAGGCCAGAGGUGGAUGAGCGCAGACUUAACCUCUCGUUUACCUCCAUGACACUAACGCUCAGCCGGAUCAGACUUAACCUCUCGUUUACC